CGGGACGGGGUGGAGUAAUGUCUGGGAAACGUGCCUGAUGGAGGGGGGUAACUACUGGAAACGGUAGCUAAUACCGCAUAACGUCGCAAGACCAAAGAGGGGGACCGUUCGGGCCUCUUGCCAUCGGAUGUGCCCAGAUGGGAUUAGCUAGUAGGUGGGGUAACGGCUCACCUAGGCGACGAUCCCUAGCUGGUCUGAGAGGAUGACCAGCCACACUGGAACUGAGACACGGUCCAG
rnacentral:rRNA from 1 species